rnacentral:rRNA from 1 species
CAGCCGCCGCGGUAAUACGUAGGUGGCAAGCGUUAUCCGGAAUUAUUGGGCGUAAAGAGUGAGCAGGCGGCAGUUUAAGUCUGGAGUGAAAGCGUGAGGCUCAACUUCAUACAGCUCCAGAAACUGAACAGCUAGAGUACGAGAGAAGUAAGUGGAAUUCCAUGUGUAGCGGUGAAAUGCGUAGAUAUAUGGAGGAACACCAGUGGCGAAGGCGACUUACUAGCUCGAGACUGACGCUCAGUCACGAAAGCGUGGGUAGCAAAUAGGAUUAGAUACCCUAGUAGUCCACGCCGUAAACGAUGAAAACUAAGUAUUGCCGCGAGGCAGUGCUGUAGCUAACGCAUUAAGUUUUCCGCCUGGGGAGUACGCUCGCAAGAGUGAAACUUAAAGGAAUUGACGGGGGCCCGCACAAGCAGUGGAGCAUGUGGUUUAAUUCGACGCUACGCGAAGAACCUUACCAGGACUUGACAUAGGAUUUAAAACUCUAGAAAUAGAGCCAUAAUAAGUCCAUACAGGUGGUGCAUGGCC